UGCCUAGUACGCAGUAUUGAUUACUUUGCAUAAAAUGUAGUGGCUCCUACCAUCUAGCCCUGCCUUGCAGAUCAGCUCGGUCAUCCGACGAGGCAGUCUGGUGGAGGAACUCCUCUGCGGAAGUCAUCCUUUCAAUAAUUUUUGAUCGAGUAAUACGCAAAGAUAUACCAGGUUAAACGAAGGCGAAAGCAGUUUCAAUAGCUUAGAAAUAUUGCAAAGCUGGAGAAUUGACUGCAUGAUUAUUAAAUAUUCGACAUCCGAAAUGAAACACAUUUACUUUGAUAGUCCUUGCUCUUCCGUACAUCCGACGAUAGGUCGUUUAUGGAUAGCAUGAAUGUCCGACCAUCAAACAGAUUAGGAAAUGACAACGUUUUCCUUUUUAAUCUUAUAUUUAAGUGAUCGAUCAAUCAAUGUUGUAUUUAUCGAAUGAUUUUAUGAUGACGACGCGAGUAUUUCUAUUGAUGAGAGGGACAUUAGGUCUCUUAACUGUAGCUAUCCUGAAUAUUGUAUUAGUGUAUAUAAAUCAAGAACCUACAUAUUUAUUAAGUAAUGUAAUGAAAAAUAUUAUAUAUAUGGGAAGCAAGAUGCUCCAUGAAAGAGAGGAGAUCAUAAAAGCAGAGGAGGAUGCUGAUGCUGCUCACGAAUUUAUUACAAAUCUUCCAAAUGAUCUGGUAGGCAAGUUAGUGAGGGAAUCACCUAAUUAUCUGGUUUAUGGAAACAACAUGUUUCUAUUGCUAGAGCAUUACUAUAGCAACCAUCGACAUCAAUAUUGAAUUUUAAUACACGAGUGUAUUGAAUCGUGAAAGCAGAAGAGUGGUCCAAGAAGUUGGAAAUUCGUACUGAAGAAGGAACAUCAUUAGCUACUGCUCUUGCAUGCAUUAUGUGAUUGAGAAUACCUAGGAAACGGAAAAAGGAAAAAGAACAUUUGUGUCUUUCCGACGAAAUUUGGAAAAACCAAUAUGGCAUUGUUUUAUAAAGUUUGGAACGGUGGUACGAGGAAA